UACGUAGGGGGCUAGCGUUGUCCGGAUUUAUUGGGCGUAAAGAGCGUGUAGGCGGCCAGGUAGGUCUGCUGUUAAAACUCGAGGCUCAACCUCGAGACGUCGGCGGAAACCAUCUGGCUAGAGUCCGGAAGAGGAGAGUGGAAUUCCUGGUGUAGCGGUGGAAUGCGCAGAUAUCAGGAGGAACACCGGUGGCGAAGGCGCCACUCUGGGCCGGUACUGACGCUGAGGAGCGAAAGCGUGGGGAGCGAACAGG
rnacentral:rRNA from 1 species